rnacentral:sRNA from 1 species
GCAUCUGGAACAGGGGUACCGGGAAAGGCUGAGCCUCCUGCGGUCUGAGGUGGAGGCAGAGCGAGAGCUGUUCUGGGAGCAGGCCCACAGGCAGAGGGCCGCGCUGGAGUGGGACGUGGGGCGCCUGCAGGCUGAGGAGGCUGGCCUUCGCGAGAAGCUGACCCUGGCCCUGAAGGAAAACAGUCGCCUACAGAAGGAGAUUGUGGAAGUGGUGGAAAAGCUUUCGGAUUCAGAGAGGCUGGCCCUGAAGCUGCAGAAGGACCUGGAGUUUGUGCUGAAGGACAAGCUGGAGCCACAGGGUGCAGAGCUCCUGGCCCAGGAGGAGCGGUUCGCAGCAGUCCUGAAGGAAUACGAGCUCAAGUGCCGGGACCUGCAGGACUGCAACGAUGAGCUGCAAGCUGAGCUGGAAGGCCUGUGGGCGCGGCUGCCCGAGAACCGGCACAGCCCCUCCUGGAGCCCGGGUGGGCGCAGACGGCAGCUCUCUGGACUCGGCCCAGCAGGUAGGAGCCCGUCCCUGGGAGGGGGCUGACCCAAGGCCUGCUGUUGACACCGAGGCCCAAAGCCAGGAAAGGAGAGUGGAGAUGAUGAAGAAGAUGAUGUUGCUGUGACCUGAAGGGAGGUGGUCUGCUC